UGCCUGUUCUAUGGUUCCUCUCAGUUUGC
rnacentral:piRNA from 1 species